rnacentral:rRNA from 1 species
UACGUAGGGUGCAAGCGUUAAUCGGAAGUACUGUGCGGAAAGCGUGCGCAGGAGGUUUUGUAAGUCUGACGUGAAAUCCCCGGGCUCAACCUGGGAAUUGCGUUGGAGACUGCAAGGCUAGAAUCUGGCAGAGGGGGGUAGAAUUCCACGUGUAGCAGUGAAAUGCGUAGAGAUGUGGAGGAACACCGAUGGCGAAGGCAGCCCCCUGGGUCAAGAUUGACGCUCAUGCACGAAAGCGUGGGGAGCAAACAGG